ACAAUGUUACCGUUGGAAAAAUGGGUUUGUGUUGGCUAUUUCAUUUAAUGUAUUAUUGCUUUUUGUGUUAUGAUUGGCAUUCAGAAUUGUUGCUUAUUUUUUGUUCUAAUGUUACUAAGCUCUUUGAGUAGUGCAUUGGUUAGUACAAAUGCUCAUUCUAAGCUGAAGACAAUAAAUGGCAUUAAUUAUUUUAGAUUUAUGGUCCUGAAUUUCUGUGAACACAUUCUAAUUGGCUGCUGCUGAAGGCUGAUGCAAAAUUUAACCUCAUUUAGUUAUUUUUUGCAAGAGUAUAUAAAAAUAACAAGAAGAAAAGCAAAAUGGAGAAUUGAAUAUUUGCUUGAUGUUUCCGUCAAAUUCUUUGACUGAUAUUGGUAUAAAAACCUAAUUGUGAUCCUUGUGGUGUUUGUUCUUAACUUAUAAUGAAGGUCCUUUAACGUUCUAUUUACAAAUUUACAAUGUAAAAAGAAAGGCAUUAGCCAUCAGAGAGUUAACCAGUUUAAUGAUGCAUGUUAUGACUAAAAGCUUAUGGUAGUAAGCAAAUUGUUUUGGCUUUGCUCAAUCCUCAAACUCCCUUUUAUCUUCUGGCAAUGUAGACUUUUAGUGAGUGCUGCCAUUAAUCAGACUCUUUUGUGGUUUGAGAAAUAUUUAAUUGAGUUUAUUGACAUAAGGCUGAUAUAUUUGGUGUGAUGCUAUUAGUUCAUUAGUCUGAACUUUCCUGAGCAUAGUUUUGUGACUCUAGUAUGUUCCAUUGCUCUUAACUUUUAGCAAACACAUUUAUGACUGUUAAAAUGAUUUUCCAGUCUUUUUAUCUUUAUUUUUCUUCUUUUUUAAAAUUGAUGCAUGUCUGUGCGCUUCCUAUGCAAUUUUAUAUUGACAAUAAAGAUGCUGCAGAUUGCCGAAUAUAAUGCACAUGA
rnacentral:misc_RNA from 1 species